rnacentral:rRNA from 1 species
AGUGAACGCUGGCGGUAGGCCUAACACAUGCAAGUCGAACGGCAGCACAGUAAGAGCUUGCUCUUACGGGUGGCGAGUGGCGGACGGGUGAGGAAUACAUCGGAACCUACUUUUUCGUGGGGGAUAACGUAGGGAAACUUACGCUAAUACCGCAUACGACCUACGGGUGAAAGCAGGGGAUCUUCGGACCUUGCGCGAUUGAAUGAGCCGGUGUCGGAUUAGCUAGUUGGCGGGGUAAAGGCCCACCAAGGCGACGAUCCGUAGCUGGUCUGAGAGGAUGAUCAGCCACACUGGAACUGAGACACGGUCCAGACUCCUACGGGAGGCAGCAGUGGGGAAUAUUGGACAAUGGGCGCAAGCCUGAUCCAGCCAUACCGCGUGAGUGAAGAAGGCCUUCGGGUUGUAAAGCCCUUUUGUUGGGAAAGAAAAGCAGCAGGUUAAUACCCCGCUGUUCUGACGGUACCCAAAGAAUAAGCACCGGCUAACUUCGUG